CCCCUAGAUGUUCUGGGCCGCACGCGCGCUACACUGAACAGUUCAACAAGUCUUAACCUUGGCCGAUAGGUCUGGGUAAUCUUUGAACGCUGUUCGUGAUUGGGAUAGACCUUUGCAAUUAUGGGUCUUCAACGAGGAAUUCCUAGUAAACGCAAGUCAUCAGCUUGCAUUGAUUACGUCCCUGCCCUUUGUACACACCGCCCGUCGCUCCUACCGAUUGGGUGUUUCGGUGAACUAUCCAGAUCGCAGCAAUGUUCGGAUCCCGAUCGUUGCAGCGAAAAGUUUCGUGAACCUCAACACCUAGAGGAAGGAGAANUCGUAACA
rnacentral:rRNA from 1 species